rnacentral:rRNA from 1 species
CUGAGUAAUGCAGAGGUAGGCGGAAUUCCCGGUGUAGCGGUGGAAUGCGUAGAUAUCGGGAGGAACACCAGUGGCGAAGGCGGCCUACUGGGCAUCAACUGACGCUGAGGCUCGAAAGCAUGGGUAGCAAACAGGAUUAGAUACCCUGGUAGUCCAUGCUGUAAACGAUGAUUACUAGGUGUGGGAAGAUUGACCCUUUCCGUGCCGCAGUUAACACAAUAAGUAAUCCACCUGGGGAGUACGACCGCAAGGUUGAAACUCAAAGGAAUUGACGGGGGCCCGCACAAGCAGUGGAGUAUGUGGUUUAAUUCGAAGCAACGCGAAGAACCUUACCAGGUCUUGACAUCCAACGACCGCCUAAGAGAUUAGGCUUUCCUUCGGGACGUUGAGACAGGUGGUGCAUGGUUGUCGUCAGCUCGUGUCGUGAGAUGUUGGGUUAAGUCCCGCAACGAGCGCAACCCUUAUUACUAGUUACUACGCAAGAGGACUCUAGUGAGACUGCCGUUGACAAAACGGAGGAAGGUGGGGAUGACGUCAAAUCAUCAUGCCCUUUAUGACCUGGGCUACACACGUACUACAAUGGCUAUUAACAGAGAGAAGCGAGACCGCAAGGUGGAGCAAACCUCAGAAAAAUAGUCUCAGUCCGGAUUGGGGGCUGCAACCCGCCCCCAUGAAGCCGGAAUUGCUAGUAAUCGCGGAUCAGCAUGCCGCGGUGAAUACGUUCCCGGGCCUUGUACACACCGCCCGUCACACCAUGAGAGCCGGGGGGACCCGAAGUCGGUAGUCUAACCGCAAGGAGGACGCCGCCGAAGGUAAAACUGGUGAUUGGGGUGAAGUCGUAACAAGGUAACCGUAAAGGGCGAAUUCGGAGCCUGC